GCUAAAUAAGAGCGUAUGGGGAAUGCCUUGGCUCUCAGAGGCGAUGAAGGACGUGAUAAGCUGCGAAAAGCUGCGGGGAUUGGCACAUACAAACUGAUCCGUAGAUAUCCGAAUGGGGCAACCCAGCAUGUUGAAGACAUGUUACACCGAAAGGUGAGCAAACCCGGAGAACUGAAACAUCUAAGUACCCGGAGGAGAAGAAAACAAAAGUGAUUCCGAUAGUAGCGGCGAGCGAAAUUGGAUUAGCCCAAACCAGUAUUGUUACGGCAAUGCUGGGGUUGUAGGACCACGAUAUUCGAGUCAAGAUGAAUUAGAACAGUUUGGAAAGACUGACCAAAGAGGGUGAUAGUCCCGUAUAAGUAAAGAAUGAUAAGAUAGUGGUAUCCUGAGUAGUGCGGGGCACGUGUAACCCUGUGUGAAUCAGUCGGGACCAUCCGAUAAGGCUAAAUACUCCUGAGAGACCGAUAGUGAACUAGUACCGUGAGGGAAAGGCGAAA
rnacentral:rRNA from 1 species